rnacentral:rRNA from 1 species
GUGGGGAAUAUUCCGCAAUGGACGAAAGUCUGACGGAGCAACGCCGCGUGAGUGAUGAAGGUUUUCGGACUGUAAAGCUCUUUCGUUAGGGACGAACGUGCUCUUUGUGAAUAAUGAGGAGUAAUGACGGUACCUAAAUAAGAAGCCACGGCUAACUACGUGCCAGCAGCCGCGGUAAUACGUAGGUGGCAAGCGUUGUCCGGAAUUAUUGGGCGUAAAGCGCGCGCAGGCGGGAUAUCAAGUCUGUCUUAAAAGUGCGAGGCUCAACCUCGUGAGGGGACAGAAACUGGUAUUCUUGAGUGUCGGAGAGGAAAGUGGAAUUCCAAGUGUAGCGGUGAAAUGCGUAGAGAUUUGGAAGAACACCAGUGGCGAAGGCGACUUUCUGGACGAUGUCUGACGCUGAGGCGCGAAAGCUAGGGGAGCGAACGGGAUUAGAUACCCCUGUAGUCC